UAAUACGGAGGGGGCCAGCGUUGUUCGGAAUUAUUGGGCGUAAAGGGCGCGUAGGCGGCCUGGCAAGUCGGUUGUGAAAGCCCUCGGCUCAACCGAGGAAUUGCGACCGAAACUGCCGGGCUUGAGUCCCGGAGAGGGUAGCGGAAUUCCCAGUGUAGCGGUGAAAUGCGUAGAUAUUGGGAGGAACACCAGUGGCGAAGGCGGCUACCUGGACGGGUACUGACGCUGAGGCGCGAAAGCGUGGGGAGCAAACAGGAUUAGAUACCCUGGUAGUCCACGCCGUAAACGAUGGGCACUUGGUGUUGCGGGUAUCGACCCCUGCAGUGCCGAAGCUAACGCAUUAAGUGCCCCGCCUGGGGAGUACGGUCGCAAGGCUG
rnacentral:rRNA from 1 species